rnacentral:rRNA from 1 species
AUUGAACGCUGGCGGCAGGCCUACCACAUGCAAGUCGAACGAGUGGCGGACGGGUGAGUAAUGUCUGGGAAACUGCCUGAUGGAGGGGGAUAACUACUGGAAACGGUAGCUAAUACAGCAUACCAUCGGAUGUGCCCAGAUGGGAUUAGCUAGUAGGUGGGGUAAAGGCUCACCUAGGCGACGAUCCCUAGCUGGUCUGAGAGGAUGACCAGCCACACUGGAACUGAGACACGGUCCAGACUCCUACGUGAGGCAGCAGUGGGGAAUAUUGCCCAAUGUGCGCAAGCCUGAUGCAGCCAUGCCGCGUGUAUGAAGAAGGCCUUCGGGUUUUAAAGUACUUUCAGCGGGUAGGCGUUACCCGCAGAAGAAGCACCGGCUAACUCCGUGCCAGCAGCCGCGGUAAUUC